GUUCUCACUCUGACAGCACAUAUGACAAAAUUGGAACAGUACAGAGAAGGUUAUAGACAAUGGCUCCUGCGCAAGGAUGACAUGCAAAUCCAUGAAGCAUUCCAUAUAUUC
rnacentral:snRNA from 1 species